ACUAAAUUAAUAAAUUGAAUUAAUUAAUUUGGAAUUAGUGGUCUUUCAUAAGCAAAAACGUGUAAGGGAAAAACAAAAGAAAAUCUCUUCUUCUUUCAUCUUCCUUGCCACCCCAUCUUCCUCCCAAGUUCCUCCAUGAGUGGACUUCCAUGUAAGCUUACUUUUAAGCUUAGUUUUCUUCACUUAAUUCAAAUAACUCCAUUAAAAACCUCCCUAGAGCUUAUUGUUACAACUUGAGAAGAGGAUUACAAGAAGAAGGAAGAGUUAAAGAUAGGGUUUUGAAGCUUUAACAAAAGUUGAAAAGAAUAUCGGGAAGGAACCCGAGGAACCGAGUCGAGGCUAAAGGACGACUCGUUUGAGAUACAGAGAUUAGAGGAGCAGCAGACUGAGCUGCUGAGGUGUGUGAAGUCAUCAGUUUGAAGCCUUCGGGUAUAAUUUAUACCCUAACUGUAAAUACUUCUUUUGAUGUAUAUAUUGCACAUAAAUGUAUGGACAUGUAAAAAUGGGUCUUGAGCAGCUUGUACACAAAUUUGUAUGAAGUUUGUAAUAAAGUUUAGUUUGUGUUUCUUUUGAUAUAAA